rnacentral:rRNA from 1 species
GAUGAACGCUGGCGGCGUGCCUAAUACAUGCAAGUCGAGCGGUAAGGCUCCUUCGGGAGUACACGAGCGGCGGACGGCUGAGUAACGCGUAGGAACGUACCCCAAAGUGAGGGAUAAGCACCAGAAAUGGUGUCUAAUACCGCAUAUUAUCUUCGGAUCAAAGCUUCGGCGCUUUGGGAACGGCCUGCGUAUGAUUAGCUAGUUGGUGAGGUAAUGGCUCACCAAGGCUAUGAUCAUUAGCUGGUCUGAGAGGAUGAUCAGCCAGACUGG